rnacentral:rRNA from 1 species
AUUGCAGGCUGCAACCCGCCCUGCAUGAAGUCGGAAUUGCUAGUAAUCGCGGAUCAGCAUGCCGCGGUGAAUACGUUCCCGGGCCUUGUACACACCGCCCGUCACACCAUGGGAGCCGGUAAUACCCGAAGUCAGUAGUCCAACCUCGUGAGGACGCUGCCGAAGGUAGGAUUGGCGACUGGGGUGAAGUCGUAACAAGGUAAC